rnacentral:rRNA from 1 species
CGGGACGGGGUGGAGUAAUGUCUGGGAAACGUGCCUGAUGGAGGGGGGUAACUACUGGAAACGGUAGCUAAUACCGCAUAACGUCGCAAGACCAAAGAGGGGGACCGUUCGGGCCUCUUGCCAUCGGAUGUGCCCAGAUGGGAUUAGCUAGUAGGUGGGGUAACGGCUCACCUAGGCGACGAUCCCUAGCUGGUCUGAGAGGAUGACCAGCUACACUGGAACUGAGACACGGUCCAG